rnacentral:lncRNA from 10 species
CAAACACAAAUGCUCAUGGGUGAGUAAGCAGGGAUGAAAUGUGAGAGUGGAACACGGGGCAAGAACUCAGACUGGGAGGCUUUCCCAGGAAUCUGAGGCCUGUCCCUACCUGAUAAGUGAGAGGGGAGCAGCAGGGAGGAGCAGGGGCCCCGGCCAUGGUGGACACAGCCCUCCCGAGGUCCAGAGCUGGAGUGGCUGCCCUAGGCCUCUCUUAUCCCCUCCACUGGCCUCACAGAGGAAGGGUUAUGGAUGCAAAUGUGUCCCACCCACUGCCUGCCCCCACCCCACUCUAUGCAUUUAUUCAAGACCUGGGGACUGGUGGAUGAGAGAGUCUGGCAGGACCUGGGAGGAAGUGGGUGCUGGAACCACACCCAGAGAAGAUGCAGCAGCUGAGUCGGCUUCAGUGAGUGCAGGCUCCACUGCCCAGCCCUGGGGAGUUUAGGGGUUGGCACAGCUAUGAAUAGCCACUGUGCAGACCGUGAGACAGACCCACAGUGCCCCUGCUGCUCACUGGCCAGACUGCAGUCUCAGUGGGAAUCAUGUGAGUGCAGUCAUCUAAGGGCCUGGUCCAAACCAUCCAUGAGCCAUGCCCCUGCUCUGUCCUGAGCUACUGGUAUUAAUAAACAGCCUUUUCAUUGAGGGCUCCUGGAUUACUAGAAGAAGGACAUAUGGGAAAUAUAACAAUGGCCUAAUGUGACGAGGCUACAGUGAGGGGAGAAUGCAGACAGCUUCUGGAGCAAAGACCCGGGCAGCUCCUUCCACAGGGAUCCACCUCUACUCACAGAAUAGGAAGGAAAAACUUAACAUCAGUUAGAAAUACAUAAACGAAGGCCUCAAUUGUUUGUUCCUGUGAUGAUUCAUUGGAUGCGUUCAUCCAUGAAUGCAUACUCAAGCAACUACCCUUCAGGCUUGGGUUCCUGGUGUCACUGGAUUGAUUUUGUUAAUCAUGGUUUUCACGUAUUUGUAUGUAUACUCUUUUUUCUCCAUGUCAUUCACUCAGUUAAUAAGAGAGUUGUAUUAAUAUCUGUGUAUAUGAUUAUGGAUUGAUUAUUUCUCUUUUUAAUUCUGCUAAAAGAGACAGUUUUGCUUCAAAUACUUUAAAGCUAUUUUAUUAGGUGCAUACAAUUUACAGUUGUUAUGUGUUGUCAUUGAACACCUUAUUUCACCAGUAUAAAAUGCCUCCCUUUUCUUGGAAAAAAAUGUUUUUCAUAAAAGCUUUCAUACUAAUACUAACUUUAGAGUAGGCAGAUAGCUAGACAGAAGCAGGAGGGGCAGCCCCUGAGAAAAGGGAGUUCUGGAAAAUCUCACACCCCAGAGACCACCCAAAGCACACAUGCUAGAUACGAACAGAGAUUAGGGUAAAUACCUAUGCCAGAACAAAGCCCCUUAAGACACCCAGUAUUCACUCACUCUGAAGUUAACCUGUCAGAAUGUAGCUAGCUGCAUGCUGAUAAUAGGGGUGAGAGCAAAGGAGAAAUUUCUAAGAGAGAUGCAGGUACAGUAAGUAUAGAUUUGACCACCAUACAACCUUCCUGGGGUGGCAGUAAUGAGCAAUGCAGCCAUUAGGUAGAAUUCCUAUCAAACACUGGGCCCAUGUGUGUGUUAAGGGAGGGUCCCACAGCCUGGGCUGGAAACUAUGUGGGGAAAAGGCAGGGACUUAAGGCUGAAGCAGAAAAACUAGAGAAAGAAAAAAAGGUGGAGACUUAAAACAGAGGUGGGAACUCCAAGAAAAAGUGCAAUAUCAUAAAAACUCAGUGCACAUUUCUCGGGCCGCUGGCUCAUUCUCUAUCAGCAGCCCGCUCUGCCUUAUCUUCCAGAGUACACUGUCUCUCUAAAUAAACUAUUUGCUCUCUGUUUUUCUUCAGUAAAUUCUCUUUUUUGCCUAAAUUGUCUCUUGGCCAAAACUUUCUCCCAAGACAAAGGACAGAGGAUUGCCAUACUUGCUUUCUGUUUCGUCUCAGCUCUUCAGCCUCCUGCCUCUUAUGGGUUGGAAAUCCACAUCUGUCAUAAUGAGGACUAGUGUGGGCUUGAAAUCAUCAACCUCUACUUU